rnacentral:lncRNA from 1 species
UUUAAGGAGUCAGACAUCUGGUCUCAGAGUUUAGCUUUCGUUUCUGGUUCCCAGAGAACUGCUUCGGCGGGAAAGUUAGACUCUAUAUAGGUGUUUUACCCGCGUAGUAACUUCGCGGAGUCAAUUCGUCAGCCUCCGGAGCGAGUUGUGUCUGGACAGCGCGCUCCGAUUCAAGCCUCGUUCCUGCUCAAGCCUUGCCUUGUUUCCAGCCUCCGCUCCUGUUUCCCAGCCUUUGUUUACCUACGGAUCUUGCCUUGUUUCCCAGGACUAACCCUUGCCUUGUUUCACGGAUUUUACCAAGUUAUUCCACGGACCUUGUUCUUGUUCCUCGUUACCUUGUUCCACGUUUCAAGCCUUGUUUCAAGUAUCAAGUUAUUCCACGGACCUUGUUCUUGUUCCUCGUUACCUUGUUCCACGUUUCAAGCCUUGUUUCAAGUAUCAAGUUAUUUCCUAGCCUUGCUCAAGUUCAUGGACUAAAGGACCUUGUCAUCUCCCCUCACUUUGCUUGGCAAAGUGAGUGUUUCGGUUAUUGGAUUACAACUUUGGACCUUAAUAUUUCAUAUUGGACAUUGUUUCUUUGGACUAAUUUUGACCUUUCCUGAAAGGUCUGCUUCUGGACUAACUUUUACAUUUGCUUUUACUAACUUUAUAUAUUUCCUUAAUAAAGAUAUUAGAUAGAAUCUGGCCUCUGCGUAUGGUUAUUGGUGCUCUGUAGCCUGGGUCGUGACAGUUAGAUGAAGUUUCUUAAUACUCAGGUCAGGUGAGAUUCACCAUAGGACCCGUAUUGAGACAUGGGUUUCAAGCAAAUGGUUAUCACUAGUCCUUCCCAACACUAGUCCUGUUUGCAAACAUUAGACUGAAACUUGCAAAGCCACUGUAAUUGUUUGUUUAUUUAAAAAAAUAGAAAAACACAAUUCAAAGAAAUGCAUGCAUUGCAUAUAUACACACAAUACACUGAACUUUUGAUGAAGAGCUUCACUUAGUGCUGAAUUUCUGAAAACAACAAUGCUCAAAGCAAUCUUUAGAUCAGAGGUCCCCAAACUUUUUAAACAGGGGGCAGUUCAUGAUCCUUCGGACCGUUUGAGGGCCAGAAGUUGGCCACCGAGCAAUAAUAAUUAAUACUAAUAAUAAUAACAACAACAACAACAACAACAAUAAAAAAGAGGGUUGGAAGAGACCCUUUGGGCCAUUGAGUCCAAUCCUCUUCUGCCUUUGUGCACCGAAAGCACAAGCAAAGCAUCCCUGACAGAUGGCCACCCAGCCUCAAUGUUAAUAAUAAUAAUAAUAAUAAUAAUAAUAAUAAUAAUAAUAAUAAUGGUUGUAAGAGAAGAAGAGACCCCUUGGGUCAUUUAGCCCAACCCCCUUCUGCCCUUGUGCCGUGGGGGCCGGAUAAAUGGCUUUGAUGGGCCGCAUCCGGCCCCCGGGCCUUAGUUUGGGGACCCCUGCUUUAGAUGAACUUCCCAAUUUCUGUUUUGUACUGAAAAAUAAUGCCUAUGAAACAGAAGAUUAUUUGCACCUCUAAAA